rnacentral:misc_RNA from 1 species
UCCNUUUCAGUCGCGCUUCAAGAGCAGUUAGUACCUUGAGCGUGUUGGUGUUCCUGUGUUGGAUNCAUGCCUAACGUGACGGAAAUUGGCCCCGGAUGAGUCCUAAUCUUCGACUCUCACCAAUUGGUGGUGUUAGGUUGACGUGGAAGUACUGCCCAUUCUCCUUGAAUGCUUCGACCUGUGGCGUUGCAAUCAUGGGCCAUGGGUUGCUACUAGUUCCCUCGGAUGCAGAACUUUUCGAUGGGUGGUGCACAGUAAGUUGGCCACAAAGCGUUCAUCGGUCGGUGCGUACGACAGCUGUGCCCGUCUUGG